CUAACAGAGUUUCCCGGUGAGCACAGCCAGCUCUUCAUGCAAUAACAAGCCUGAGAGGUUCCUGGAUUUCUAAUGGACCCGAUAACCACUGGAAUCCCAUUCCCAUACGAUGGAUUUAUUCCUUGACAGCAAGAGGGAUCAUAAUGCCAUUGCUACACUGGAUUACACUUCCACAUAAAAGACAAAUUUGUGACGAGGCAAGCGGAGGAUAUGAAUAUUGGAUUACACUGGUUGGUUUACAACAGACCAUAUUGCUAAUGGGACACCGUAUAUAUUGCGAACGAGGAUUGAUCACACCUUCUCCGGACGUGCCAAUGAUACCAUUUGGAUCGCAUUGAGUCACAACCACACAAACACAAAUUGGAGCAGCUGGUAAUUCUGUGUUAGUUGGAAAAAUCACCGGUGGAAGAGUCGAAGUGGUUGUUGCCUUUGUAGUGGUAGUUGGUGCUUUCGUGGUAGUUGGUGCUUUUGUAGUGGUGGUAGUUCGCAUAGUUGUAGUAGUGACUGUAAUAUUUGAUGGACGACAACAUAUUUCUAAAUCUCCUGUGCAUCUCCGAUAUCUGUUUUGAAAUCAAAAGUGAUUGACAAUCAAAAGUUCGUAAUAAAAGACUCUUGUCAAUUUUCAUUCUUUUUAAAAUGAAAAAUUAAAAAAAUAUUUUGACAUCUUUAAUUUUUCUAUCUUUAAAUUUUAAUGAGAUAUCGA